ACGCUAGCUACAGGCUUAACACAUGCAAGUCGAGGGGAAACGGCAUUUAGUGCUUGCACUGAAUGGACGUCGACCGGCGCACGGGUGAGUAACGCGUAUCCAACCUACCCAUUACUGUGGGAUAACCUGCCGAAAGGCAGACUAAUACCGCAUAGUCUUCGAUGACGGCAUCAGAUUUGAAGUAAAGAUUUAUCGGUAAUGGAUGGGGAUGCGUCUGAUUAGCUUGUUGGCGGGGUAACGGCCCACCAAGGCGACGAUCAGUAGGGGUUCUGAGAGGAAGGUCCCCCACAUUGGAACUGAGACACGGUCCAAACUCCUACGGGAGGCAGCAGUGAGGAAUAUUGGUCAAUGGACGAGAGUCUGAACCAGCCAAGUAGCGUGCAGGAUGACGGCCCUAUGGGUUGUAAACUGCUUUUGUAUGGGGAUAAAGUCAAUCACGUGUGAUUGUUUGCAGGUACCAUACGAAUAAGGACCGGCUAAUUCCGUGCCAGCAGCCGCGGUAAUACGGAAGGUCCGGGCGUUAUCCGGAUUUAUUGGGUUUAAAGGGAGCGUAGGCCGGAGAUUAAGUGUGUUGUGAAAUGUAGACGCUCAACGUCUGACUUGCAGCGCAUACUGGUUUCCUUGAGUACGCACAACGUUGGCGGAAUUCGUCGUGUAGCGGUGAAAUGCUUAGAUAUGACGAAGAACUCCGAUUGCGAAGGCAGCUGACGGGAGCGCAACUGACGCUGAAGCUCGAAGGUGCGGGUAUCGAACAGGAUUAGAUACCCUGGUAGUCCGCACAGUAAACGAUGGAUGCCCGCUGUUGGUACCUGGUAUCAGCGGCUAAGCGAAAGCAUUAAGCAUCCCACCUGGGGAGUACGCCGGCAACGGUGAAACUCAAAGGAAUUGACGGGGGCCCGCACAAGCGGAG
rnacentral:rRNA from 1 species